rnacentral:rRNA from 1 species
UACAGAGGUCCCAAGCGUUGUUCGGAUUCACUGGGCGUAAAGGGUGCGUAGGUGGUUGCGCAAGUCUGAUGUGAAAACCCGGAGCUCAACUCCGGGCCUGCAGUCGAUACGGGCAGACUGGAGUUCGGCAGGGGAGACUGGAAUUCCUGGUGUAGCGGUGAAAUGCGCAGAUAUCAGGAGGAACACCGGUGGCGAAGGCGGGUCUCUGGGCCGAUACUGACGCUGAGGAGCGAAAGCGUGGGGAGCGAACAGG